GUGUGAUAGAAGGAAAAGCCAGAAGUGAAGUACGCCCUGCUCGGUUUCCCCUGUGGCUGCAGCGAGGUCAGGUGUCCCCCAAGUGACCUCCACUGACCAAGGCCACUCUCCGCAGGUAGAUCUUGGGGGCUGAGCUUUGCCAGGUGGCAUGCACGGUUGGCAAGGGUGGGGCGGCUGCUGCUGGGUUUGCCUGCCAGGUGGUUCUGCUGCCCAGCACAGCCUGGCUGGCCCCUGGGGUGGCUCAGCCCCCAGGCCGUAGGGAAAGAGGCAGUGGGGGUGUGCAACCCACAGGCAUCCGGGUAUCCUGGUGACCCAGAAGCAGCCCCUUAGCAAUGGGCCUGGGUUGCGGCUGGGGACGUGACUCCAUCCCUGUCACCCAGCGUCCCAGAGAAGCUAGGUUUUCAGUGUGGAAUCCUGCGAUCUGUCAAAAAACAAACACCAAGCAGCCAGACAGGAAAAGAAGCCUCCACAGGCCGGGUGGAGCGGAGCGCGGCUGCACUUGCUGCUCUGAGGCUCUGCUUGAUGCCCGUGGGGGCUCCAGACAUGGUCUCUGGCUCCCUUCCAGGGCAGGGUGGAGAAGGCCGUUUGGGUGGAGGGAAAGGGUCACCUCACCCCUCCUCCGGCUGUAGAAAGCUAGACGUGAACGCACACGCAGUGAAGCACCAGCUUGCGAUCAGCGCUGAGAACGAAGAGCUGAGGUGAAGGCAGCCGAGGAAGCAGUGACUCUCAGUUGGCCGACCAGACAGGCUGCACCAGAAACGCUUUCCACCGGCUUUCCCGGCCGCAUUCACAGGCGCAGAUAGAUGAGCAGCCGGUGGGUGGCUGAGUAGCUCCUCAGACGAAAAGGGUUUCUCCCGGCACCCUCGACAUCUCUUGCUUCUGAAGUAGGCUCAGCCCCAGCCACGGGAGCAGGUGCAACGCUCAAGUCCUGAUUAAGAAAGCUGGAGAGAACCCAAAGGAAUGACUUUCAAAUGACAGCCUUUUCAGAGGCAACACCUGCUCAGUGCCAGGACCAUGUCACAUAUGAUAACAGUGCCCACCACUGCGCCUGGCCCCUGAUGCUGUGUCCUGGAACUCGGAACAUGAACGACUGUAUAUGUGCCAUUCUUCCAGAGGGCCUGGGGGCCAAUACAUUUCCCAGUAUCCUUUCACAAACAAAAACGGGACUAUUGGGUGAAGGAGCAUUCACAACUGGGUGAAUGGAUGAAUCUCAAGGGUAGGACACUUGGAAAACGCCUACCUGUUCAUUCCAUGAUGCCACGUUCAUGUCAGGACUCACCCUCAAAUUCAUUAAAUUCGGCAAGAUCCGUUUUUCCUGAGGGCCAUGUUAGCAUUUGUUUUCUCCUGCCCCGUGCCUGCAGCAUCUUGGUCUAGGAGCAUCAUCUUCAUUUCCUUACAAACAACUGCAGUUUUCAUCCCCUGCUCCAGGAUGAAAUCUGCCUCUCAAAGCCGGAGAUGAAAGGUGACUUUCCUUUCUCUCCAUUCCCUCCUUUCUUCUUAAGCUAAGCAUAGAGAGUAUUUGUUGCUUGCAUCCGAAGAAAGCAUAUCCUCAGAUACCAAGAGGAAGGCUCUAGACUCAAUGAUAAGGUUACCAUCAGUGAUUUUGUAGAUACACUGCUUAGGCUCGAAGGCUAGCUCUGAGGCUUCUUAGCUGUGUGGCCUCAGACAAGUCAUUUAUCCUCUCUUUGCCUCAGCUGCCCGAUCUUCAAAAUGGGAAGGUUAGAUAAAGUACAGCAAUGCAAAUACUUUUAAAACAGUGCCUCGCACGUGGUGACCACUCUAAAUAUCAUCAGGUCUCAAUCAUCCUAGAAACUUGGGGGAAAAAAUGAGAGGAUUCUACUUAUGAAAACAAAAGAAAAAAAUACCACAAAUCAUGGAAUGCACUGGAAUGCACACAGGAUUUCUCAAGGGCUGCUCGUGUCUGCCUGUGCUCUCUGAUGUUGGUGAGGCUCGCAGAAAAGGGCUGUGGAGCUGUUUCUGAUGGGGAGUUCAAAAAUGAGCUGCUGCCUUUUCAUUUUUUAAGGAAAUCCAGAGGCCAAUGGCAGUAUCUGUGUUUUUUUUUUCCCCUUUUCUGGGAAAAUUCAUGAGUUCUUGGCCCCAAAUAAGCUUAGUUCUCUACAGCUUCCCACAAGGAAAUUAAAUUUUCAGGUCCUGAACAAAAGUUUAGUUAUCAGUAAUAUAAUCAUUCCUGCUGUCACUGCAGGUCUGAAGGAACUAGAAGGGGGGAUAGCAUUUGACAGCAAGGAAAAGUAUCCCUCCUUUGACCUCCCUUUCAAACACUUGGACGUAUACUUACGCACAUGGAAUGGUGUGCCACACACUCUAAAGAAUGGACAAACACAACUACACACACACAACUGCACACAUAGAUGGCUUUCCCAAGGAUGACUUUCAACUGAGCAAUUUUUAAAAAAAACUCGAACCAUCCAGGGCCGGGAAUUUAGCUCAGUGGUGCCGCUGCCUGCCUCACAAACGGAAUGUCCUGAGUUCAGUCCCUGGUACCAAUCAAUGGAAAUGAAAAACCUGAAUCAUCCAUCAUUUUGGGGGUGCCUUCUUAUCCCAAGCCAGGAACUGGAGAAAGAGGAAGGAGUGGGUGUUACCAGCAUGAUUAUGUUCUGUUCCUGCCUUCCAGGAAAUUCUGUAACAGUGUGCUGGGGAAGAGGGUCCUACCAACAUCACAUAAAAAGCUGUAAAAAGGGUUACCAGAGAUAUUUAAACAUUGCUAAAGAUUGCUUGCUUGCUAGCUUUUUUUAAAGAGUAAUUUUGAAGCACUUUUACUGGUUACUCUUGGAGCUGACCAGCCUCGUUCUGCACUAGCCUGGAUUUGAAUAUUACAUUCGCUGCCUGUGAGUAGAGACACUAUCUGAGUCUGUCUACCAAAUGCUUUGUAAACAAAGUAUUUGUAUGCCUAAUCUACAUGUGUUAAGACAGUACUCCGCUGCAAACCUCAGAGGUCAGGUGGCAGUGGCUUAGCCAAGCGGGAGCUCAUUUUUCUCUUAUAAAAAGUAGCUCAGAGCGGGCAAUCCAGCAUUUGCAUCAUUCAAGGGACUUAUCAAGGAUGUGGCCUUCUUCCAUCUUCCUGCCUGAGCAUCCAUGGCUUCUCCAAGUGCAGGCAAAAUGGCAGUAGUUGAAGAAAUGAGCCAGCUGCAUAUGUUACCCUUGAAAAGCUUUCUAGAAAAUCUCACUUUAGUGACCACACCUUGUCCCUCAUUGGUCAUGAUCCUGCCAAGAAGACUGGACGUGUUACAAAGGAAGCUGAGAUACUGGAUAUUACAACCGGACGUUUUGUUUUUCUCAAACAAAAUUGAGCUCCUGUAGAAGGAAGAAGGGGAGAACUCAGCAGUGUUUGCCACAUUGUGUUGGGGGUCGUUGAAAGCAUUUCCUGAGAUAAUUCAUGUCCAACUCUUGACUUCAUGCCUGACAUUGGUAACUAUUAUUUUUAGCAGAGACUCCAAUGUCUUCUCUGAGGAUUCCCCCACUGAGGUGACAAAUGGAGACACAGUCUCCUCUGGGCUCUGGGACUAAACCUGGCCACUUCCUGUCUGGAUCCGAUUCAUGCCCUGUGAUUCAGGCAAUCUCAUCUCUCCAGAAUGUCCUCACUGUUAUGAUGCUAAGACAUCACCUGCUCUUUUACAAACCUGUAGUAUGGAAUGACUCUACUGUUCAAGAGUGACUUAAUACACACUUCCUAUUAUGAAUAAGUCUGUCUCUGUUUUU